rnacentral:lncRNA from 10 species
GUAGCAAUUAGGUUUCUUUGCAGGAGGUGAGAUUUUGGUACCUCUGUCCUGGCGUCCGGAGGCAGGGCCCGGGAGCAUUGAGACUAUUGCGAGAGAAAGGACCGCCGCACGGUGGUAGCGAGCGCAUCUUUUUCAUCUGGGACCUCGGAAACUGUGGUGACCCAUAGGUGCUGGGCUUCUUGGCUCUCGUCCUGAGAAAGUGCUCACAGUGCUUUGCAGUAGCCGAGGAGGGUGUUUAGAAUCAUAUAUUUUGGCUUCAGCUUUUAUCUUUGGAGUCUCCUUGAGUCGUGGCUGACUUGAUGUGGGCCUCUGGAGGAUGAGCAGUAACGAGCUUGCAGUAGCUUUUGAGCCAGGCACUGUAGAAAACACGGGUAUUUUAAAUUUUAAUCCUUACAACACCCCUGUAGGGUGGGUAUUGUUAAUUAAGUGGAGUGGUUAGAUGUCCAGUGAGUAGAGUCGAGUCCAAUCCGGGCAAUGAAUCACGAUGCUAUGAACUGGUGAAGGAAAGCCACGGAUCUUCUUAAGAUUUUAUUUACUAGGUAGCAACAUGUGAUUAUACUCAAGACACAUCAGGAUGCCAGUCUAGAAGGAAACUUACGUGAUUGUGUUCCAGGGGCAAACAGAAUUAACCCAGUGUCCAAGGUGGAAUUGUAUAGAUCAAGAACCAUUUCCUAAGGCUGUGGUCUCUUCAAAGAGAAAACCUGAUCAAACCAUUUAGCCUCAAUUCUGAACAUG